UCCCUGCUGGCGCAAUGGUAGCGCGCAAGACUUCUAUUAGGUAUUAUUCAUAUCUACAAGUUCAUCUUGAGGCUGCAGGUUCGAGCCCUGCGUGGGGAG